AUCGCUAAUGACCGUUAGCAGUUAUUUCGGCCUCCCCGAGGCAGCGCUGAGGACUAAGUAACCUGAGGGGCUCUGGCCUGGGUUAGGGCAGAAGUGCAGGCAGGCGGGAUCAGGCAUUUUCCUCUCAGCUCUCCAAGCUGAAUCCUAGCCCUGAAGGAAAAAGCACUGGGGGGAGGCUACUCGGACACCUGCCACGUCGAGGGCAGGGGCAGGAGCUGACCCUUCCCCGACGGACGGACGGACGGACAGACGCUGGUGCGGCGGUGACUCUUUGGAUAUCGUAGACGUUGCCAAUUUAGCAAAGGAAUUCGAGGUAUCCCCGAACUGAACUGUCCUCAUUAUAAUACAAGAAAAUCACGCCCAUAGGUCAGAAAGACCUGUGCCCGGGUGAAGACCCCUCCCCUGAGCAUGCAUAGUUUUAAAAUGGCGUGUAAGCAAUAUUAGAAUUGUAUGUAAAUCACUAACCAACCGGUGUAAGAGGGAAAGUUGCAAACCUUGCAACUUGUAUAAAUGCUACUUGGAAAGCCGGGGCGGGGGGGGGAGUUGCGCUUGAUUUGUGGGGAAAACACCGAGCAGCCAGGCUUGCACAACUCUGAAAUAAAUAAGCAAAUGUCUCUCCUGA